rnacentral:lncRNA from 1 species
UCUUUGCUACACAGCUUUCCUCAUAGCUGUGGGACUUUGCAAGACUCUGUUGCAGAACUUCUCUUCGUCUUGAGUAAUGUAUUUUCUGGAAACCCAUGUGAUUACUGUCCAGUUGUAAAGUGCCAUUCCCUUGGAAAGCAAAUAAAGGAUCUCCAGGGAAGGUCCAGCAAGCUGUUGAUGCUACAGACCUACCAUGACAAAGAUGAACAGCUGAGGAGUUUCUUAGCAAGCAGGAAAGUGGUGAGCAGCAAGAAGAAAAUCAAGCUCUUGCAUAACAAUACGGGGCAAUUUUUAUUCCAUUUUGAUUUUGCUGUGAGGAUAUUGUGAACUGUAAAGAAUUACUGUAAGUUGUGUGAAAUUCACUGUUGUGUUGAACAGCACAUUAAACUCAAUUACCUAACAUUUUAUUGUGUUAUGUCAAUGUUUAAGUGUGUGGAGUGGAUUAUUUCCCUGAAAGAGUCUGUACAGAGUUCUCUGAGAGGCAACAAAAGAAGACAAGCUGAAGUGCUCAUGGUUUUGCUAAACUUAGUCAGAAUUUAAUAACUUUUUGUAGGUUAUUUUAAUGACUGAGUUCCUUACAUUUUAUUUAAAACUCAGAAGGGCUAAGAUAGAAACAAUAUUCUGGUGUCAGUUACAGCAUCAAGUGUGCUUCCAUCUGAAUGUGUUUCUUGGAAUGCUUCUCUUUAGGGAACAAAUGUAACAUAUCCCAUAUAUUGGAAGGCAUUUGUGCAGGUGAUUGGUGUCCUGGAAAAUGAUGGAUAAAAAUGCUGGACUGUAGAUUGCGUUGCUGCCUUUGAAAAAAUGAGUAAUUGAGAUGAGCUACUCUGGUGCUUAUCUAAAAUCUUCUGUGAUUGAAUCAUUUGAUGUCUUGCUUUGCUUUUGAUAGUACAAAAGCUGAUACAUGAGCUGAUAAGUGAUGCAUCAAUUAUUUUCUUCUGUAACAGAGACGAAAUAAGUGCAGUACUUUCAGUAACUGAAGUUCUACAGAACGGUGUUGGUGGUUCUGAAUGUUUUGUAGUUACCAAGUGUGAGUAAUCCUGGAGAGGUUUUGAACCAAGAAGCUGAAGUUGGUACAGCAUUCAGGGUAUUCAGUGUAUGGUUAUCAGAAGCACAGAAACUUCCAGUGUUCUGAUUUGAACUUUUUUUUUUUAACCACACACUUGCAUAAGCUUUCAGGUCUUGAUCUUACAGUAUUCAAGCCAGCUGGGCUUUCCCACCAACUUACACUAGAACAGCCUCUCUGUGGGGAGAAAUUCCCCUAAUUAGAUCAUUAUACUCUGCAUUCAGUUUUUUAAAUGAGCUACUUCACUGGGUGUAAGAAACUGCUGUUGCACUUAAAUAUUGACUUGAUGCUUUUGAAGUAUCUGAAUUCAAUGUUGCUUUAUGAACAAUAGAUUUUACUCUAAAUGUUGUACAGAUAGAUUAAAAAAAAAAAAGUUGAGAAGUUGAGACUUUCUCAAAAUGAAAAUGCCACUUCUUCUGUAUUUGUGUUCUGUACCUUUCAGAUUUUUCUUUGACC